AAAAUGGCUGAUUGAAGGGUAACGUAUUUUCGGACAAAUUCAGGACUAAAGACACCAGAAGAUAUCAUACCACAAAAAUACCAGAUGAUAUCAGUAUAUAGUAAAGAAACCCUCAAGCAUCAA